CUGGUGAUCUAUAUAAGAGCUAAUGGUAGCUUUAGCUUUAUAGAACUCUAAGACUAUAUAAUAACUGAGGAUAAAUAUAUUAAAACGUGUACAAGAAGAAAGAUGGAAAGAUUUUUGAUUGCAGCAAUUAUGCUGGUUGUAUACGCAUCAACUACAUACGCUUACCGUUAUGUUGGAUGUUACGAAGACAAAAGCAAUAGAAUAUUGGGAGGAAAUUUUUCCUCAGAUGCCAGCAUGACAGGUGGAAAAAUGCGUACAAACUUGCAGUUACGAGGGCGUCAACUUCGGUGGUGUUGAGUAUGCUAGUCAAUGUUUCUGUGGUGAACGACUAAAAAGAGGUUACACAAAACAUCCAGACAGUGCAUGUUCUUCUAACUGUGCAGGAGAUUCCAGCCAAAAGUGUGGUGGAUUUUGGAAGAUAUCCGUGUACGCAACAAACAACUAUAUUGGAUGUUUCGUUGAUAACCCAGGCAGAAUUCUUGAAGGUCCAAGCACCAGUAGUAGCCAAAUGACGACUGAGACCUGCCUCAAGUUCUGCAAGGACGCUGGGAAAAGAUUUGCUUUAACACAGUACUCCAGUCAAUGUUUUUGUGGAAAUAACAUCAGCGACUACCAGCAGAAAGAUGACAGCGAAUGCAGUUAUAACUGUGCCGGGGCAAACAGUGAAAAAUGUGGAGGCUUUUGGAGGGGGUCAUUGUACGUUGUAUAAUGAACGACCAAGACGAAGGGAGAGCUACAACCAAUGUGCCUUCAUAAAGAAAAAUGUAUUUCAUGAAUUUUCAAAAAACAAUAAGAGCAUAAUCUACGAAAAUGAAUGAUCGAAUCCGGUGGUGUGAUGUUUUUUAAGUUUUAGUUGUCAUAACAAAUCGUAAAAGUGUAUUUGUAUUUGGGUCAAUGUAUUUGUAUUACAUUUUUUUUAUAAAACGGUCAUUUUGUUUUAUUUGUGAAAUUUUGUGAAAGGAAUGGACAUGUAUUUUUAGAUUAGCAUAAUCUUUGUAUGUUAAUAAACUGUUAACAUUACUUUUAUCCAAUACAUAUGUGCAAUUUUCUUUUUAAUGCCCUUUCUAUAUAGCAGAAUUGCUAUUUGAAUGUAUUACAAAACAAUUUAAUGUACUCUGUUGAGUUUUGAAAUGUUAAAGGAACAUACACGUUAGUUUUAUACAACUCUUAAUCAUUUUAUAUGUCAUUUCGUGUAUUAAAUGUAAAAGAAUAAAAGAUGGUCAUUGAAAUA
rnacentral:lncRNA from 1 species